rnacentral:rRNA from 1 species
AUGCAAGUCGAGCGGGGGAAGGUAGCUUGCUACUGGACCUAGCGGCGGACGGGUGAGUAAUGCUUAGGAAUCUGCCUAUUAGUGGGGGACAACAUCUCGAAAGGGAUGCUAAUACCGCAUACGUCCUACGGGAGAAAGCAGGGGAUCUUCGGACCUUGCGCUAAUAGAUGAGCCUAAGUCGGAUUAGCUAGUUGGUGGGGUAAAGGCCUACCAAGGCGACGAUCUGUAGCGGGUCUGAGAGGAUGAUCCGCCACACUGGGACUGAGACACGGCCCAGACUCCUACGGGAGGCAGCAGUGGGGAAUAUUGGACAAUGGGGGGAACCCUGAUCCAGCCAUGCCGCGUGUGUGAAGAAGGCCUUAUGGUUGUAAAGCAUUCUGUUAAGCGAGGAGGAGAGCUACUGUUAGUUGAAUAAGCUAGAGCACCUAGUGGACGUUACUUAACGCAGAAUAAGCCACCGGCUAACUACUGUGCCAGCAGCCGCGGUAAUACAGUAGGGUGGCGAGCGUUAAUCCGGAUUUACUGGGCGUAAAGCGUGCGUAGGCGGCUUAUUAAGUCGGAUGUGAAAUCCCACGAGCUUAACCUUGGGAAGUUGCAUUCGAUACUGGUGAGACUAGAGUAUGCAGGAGAGGAUGGUAGAAUUCCAGGUGUAGCGGUGAAAUGCGUAGAGAUCUGGAGGAAUACCAGAUGGCGAAGGCGAGCCAUCUGGCCUAUAUACUGACGCUGAGGUACGAAAGCAUGGGGAGCAAACAGGAUUAGAUACCCUGGUAGUCCAUGCCGUAAACGAUGAGUGCUACUAGCCGUUAGAGGGCCUUUGAGCGCUUUAGUGGCUGCAGCUAACGCGAUUAAGUAGACCGCCUGGGGAGUACGGUCGCAAGACUAAAACUCAAAUGAAUUGACGGGGGCCCGCACAAGCGGUGGAGCAUGUGGUUUAAUUCGAUGCAACGCGAAGAACCUUACCUGGCCUUGACAUACUAUGAAAACUUUCCUAGAAGAUAGGACUUGGUGCCUUCGGGAAUCUAGAGUGACAGGUGCUUGCAUGGCUGUCGUCAGCUCGUGUCCGUGAGAUGUUGGGUUAAGUCCCGCAACGAGCGCAACCCUUGAUCCUUACUUGCCAGCAUUAAGGAUGGGAACUCUAAGGAUGACUGCCAGUGACAAACCGGAGGAAGGCGGGGACGACGUCAAAUCAUCAUGCCCCUUACGACCAGGGCUACACACGUGCUACAAUGGACGGUACAAAGAGCUGCAACACAGCGAGGUGGAUGCUAAUCUCAUAAAAGCCGAUCGUCAGUCCGGAUUGGAGGCUGCAACUCGACUACAUGAAGCUCGGAAUCGCUAGUAAUCGCGGAUCAGAAUGCCGCGGUGAAUACGUUCCCGGGCCUUGUACACACCGCCCGUCACACCACGAGAGUUUGUAACACCAGAAGUAGCUAGCCUAACUG